CCAAGAAGAUCACUCCUUAUCCUUGGUCCCAGACCUUCUUUCUCUCCUGAUUCCCCACAACACCCACACUACAGCGGCAAUGGGAAGAAUGAGAGGAGCAAUCUUCCACCUUACCUACAAGAUGACUUCUUUAUCAUGACCAUCACUCACAGACUGCACCAUUAGUGAGCUGGUGGACCUCUCCUGCUCAGGUGCAGCUGUCCUGAUGUGACUUAACCAUCACCACAUCAUUCUCAGAUCGCCAGGUCGGUACCGACAUCAGUGCUGUAUUUAACUUCUUGCCCUGGCCCCACCAGGCCCUUUGCUCCCAGACAACAGAGGCACGCCAAGCUUCCUCCUGCCCUGGACGCUCCUCUCCACACACCAGGCCAAACAUCUUCCGCUUUAUGACUGAGCUCAGGUUUCACCUCCUUCUUCCCUGACAAGACUAUGCUGCCACAGAAGCUUGUUGUGGAAGGUUUCUCACAGUACUCUUCACACGUCUUCCUCCCUUGCCCUGUAGUCAACCUGCCAGAGAGUCCACAAGGAACCUCGCCUCCUGGUACCCAUGCCCUCCCUCGUACAGUUCCCUUCCAUGUUGAGCCAGGGCUCAGCUGUGAGGUCAAUAAAAUAAAG